UACGAAGGGGGCUAGCGUUGCUCGGAAUCACUGGGCGUAAAGGGCGCGUAGGCGGCCAUUCAAGUCGGAGGUGAAAGCCCAGGGCUCAACCCUGGAAUUGCCUUCGAUACUGUUUGGCUAGAGACCGGAAGAGGUAAGUGGAACUGCGAGUGUAGAGGUGAAAUUCGUAGAUAUUCGCAAGAACACCAGGGGCGAAGGCGGCUUACUGGUCCGGUUCUGACGCUCAGGCACGAAAGCGUGGGGAGCAAAAGGG
rnacentral:rRNA from 1 species